GACGAACGCUGGCGGCGUGCCUAAUACAUGCAAGUAGAACGCACAGUUUAUACCGUAGCUUGCUACACCAUAAACUGUGAGUUGCGAACGGGUGAGUAACGCGUAGGUAACCUGCCUGGUAGCGGGGGAUAACUAUUGGAAACGAUAGCUAAUACCGCAUAAUAUUGAUUAUUGCAUGAUAAUUGAUUGAAAGAUGCUAUUGCAUCACUACCAGAUGGACCUGCGUUGUAUUAGCUAGUAGGUGAGGUAACGGCUCACCUAGGCGACGAUACAUAGCCGACCUGAGAGGGUGGUCGGCCACACUGGGACUGAGACACGGCCCAGACUCCUACGGGAGGCAGCAGUAGGGAAUCUUCGGCAAUGGACGAAAGUCUGACCGAGCAACGCCGCGUGAGUGAAGAAGGUUUUCGGAUCGUAAAGCUCUGUUGUAAGAGAAGAACGGGUGUGAGAGUGGAAAGUUCACACUGUGACGGUAUCUUAACAGAAAGGGACGGCUAACUACGUG
rnacentral:rRNA from 1 species